rnacentral:rRNA from 1 species
UGGGGAAUAUUGCGCAAUGGGCGAAAGCCUGACGCAGCGACGCCGCGUGAGGGAUGAAGGUUUUCGGAUCGUAAACCUCUGUCAGAAGGGAAGAAACCGCACUGUGCUAAUCAGCAGUGCCUUGACGGUACCUUCAAAGGAAGCACCGGCUAACUCCGUGCCAGCAGCCGCGGUAAUACGGAGGGUGCAAGCGUUAAUCGGAAUUACUGGGCGUAAAGCGCACGUAGGCUGCUUUGUAAGUCAGGGGUGAAAUCCCACGGCUCAACCGUGGAGCUGCCUGUGAUACUGCUUAGCUUGAAUCCGGGAGAGGGUGGCGGAAUUCCAGGUGUAGGAGUGAAAUCCGUAGAUAUCUGGAGGAACAUCAGUGGCGAAGGCGGCCACCUGGACCGGUAUUGACGCUGAGGUGCGAAAGCGUGGGGAGCAAACAGG